UACGUAGGUGGCAAGCGUUACUCGGAAUCACUAGGCGUAAAGCGCAGGUAGGCGGUUCGGUAAGUCUGUUGUGAAAGCUCCCGGCUCAACUGGGAGAGGUCAACGGAAACUGCUGAGCUUGAGUACGAAAGAGGAUCGCGGAAUUCCCGGUGUAGAGGUGAAAUUCGUAGAUAUCGGGAGGAACACCAGUGGCGAAGGCGGCGAUCUGGGUCGAUACUGACGCUGAGGAGCGAAAGCGUGGGGAGCGAACAGG
rnacentral:rRNA from 1 species